AACACAUGCAAGUCGAGGGGCAGCAUGAACUUAGCUUGCUAAGUUUGAUGGCGACCGGCGCACGGGUGAGUAACACGUAUCCAACCUGCCGAUGACUCGGGGAUAGCCUUUCGAAAGAAAGAUUAAUACCCGAUGGCAUAGUUCUUCCGCAUGGUAGAACUAUUAAAGAAUUUCGGUCAUCGAUGGGGAUGCGUUCCAUUAGGUUGUUGGCGGGGUAACGGCCCACCAAGCCUUCGAUGGAUAGGGGUUCUGAGAGGAAGGUCCCCCACAUUGGAACUGAGACACGGUCCAAACUCCUACGGGAGGCAGCAGUGAGGAAUAUUGGUCAAUGGACGAGAGUCUGAACCAGCCAAGUAGCGUGAAGGAUGACUGCCCUAUGGGUUGUAAACUUCUUUUAUACGGGAAUAAAGUGAGGCACGUGUGCCUUUUUGUAUGUACCGUAUGAAUAAGGAUCGGCUAACUCCGUGCCAGCAGCCGCGGUAAUACGGAGGAUCCGAGCGUUAUCCGGAUUUAUUGGGUUUAAAGGGAGCGUAGGCGGACGCUUAAGUCAGUUGUGAAAGUUUGCGGCUCAACCGUAAAAUUGCAGUUGAUACUGGGUGUCUUGAGUACAGUAGAGGCAGGCGGAAUUCGUGGUGUAGCGGUGAAAUGCUUAGAUAUCACGAAGAACUCCGAUUGCGAAGGCAGCCUGCUGGACUGUAACUGACGCUGAUGCUCGAAAGUGUGGGUAUCAAACAGGAUUAGAUACCCUGGUAGUCC
rnacentral:rRNA from 1 species